UAAGCGCUCUCUUCUUAGGGUUCGCUUAGCGCCGCCGCUCGGCUCCGCCCGUUCCCGUCGGGCCGGAACGGUGUCGUUGCCGGGCUCUCGCACCAGACUCCCUCACUCAUUUUGGUGAGGUUAGCACAGCGCUGUGCUGGCCUUACAGCCCCUCCUGCGUCUAGCGAUGGCAGCGGGCGGGCCGGACCGUGCACUUUGUUCCUUCCCGUCCCGCAGUUAUGUGUAAUUCGGCAGCACUAUCCCGUUGCUAUCGCGGAGCCGCCGCGGGACGACCUGUGUGACUGGGAUGCUCUUGUGGACGCCGCUAUUCUUGGUAGCACAGCCCGGCGCUGCGGCGGCGGGGUUCGUGUGAUGAAGCCGAACAGACCGAGGAGGAGAAGCGGAGAGCUCGGCAGCGGGGAGACGUGGGUAGUGUCAGCGGGCCGUCCGUUAUGGAGCGGGGCGAGGAAGACGGCUGGAAGCAAGGAGAUGGAAGCCACCCCCUUCCCCUGGCCAUAUGUUGUGCAGGAAGACAAAGUCCAGUGGACUCCAAAUAUCAGGUAAAACCUUCUUGACUGAUGUCCUGGUCUGUGACUGAAGGCACUGUGUGAAGUCAUUUACUGUGCUCUGGGGAGCACAAGGGGUUUUUGCUUUGGAAAGGGCUCAGGUAAGCAGCUGGAGAUGAAAUGCUGCUGCAUUGCGCGUCCAUCCAGGUAUGUGCUGUGUAUGCAAGGGCUGUUCCACUGCAUCAGCAACCUGAAGAGAAUGAGACUGUUAGAAAGGAGCUGAGUUAAUGCUCUUGGUGACUAUUUUGGCAACUACUCCUGGGGAAGAAAGAUUUCUAAUAGGAAACUAGAAGAUGCAUAUGUUCAGAAUCUUCCGUCCUGAGAAAUCUACAGUAAGGCCAAAACAGUCCUUUAUUUUCAAGGAGAUGUAGAAAAUGAUCCAUCUUCUUGUGGGGAAAAGGUUUUUACUUUGAUUGUAUUGAAGGUAAUGCCUCAUAACUUGCACCAAGUUGAAUUGGUGGGCAGGCAACUUAAACCUUACAUUGUAAAAGCAAAUUAGUAACAAAUGAGGUCUCCCUCCAAAAGGCACAUCUUGCACUUCAUUUAGCUUCCUGUUGAAGCAAAAUGUGUAGGAGGACUCAAAUAUAACGAACUGGGUUCUCAUUUUUAAGUGUGCCCCAACACUUCUGCUAACAACAAAGUUUGCUUCUGUGUAGUGGGAAGUGAGUGAUGAUACAUUUAUUAUAUGGAUCAAUUAUCAUGCAACGACUGGUUCUGUGUUUCUGUGACUAGAUUUGCUGGCUGCAGCUGUUGAGGUGCAGUGGAUACCAGUCUGCAUUCAGCUUCACUUAACAUGAGAAACCAAUCAAUGCUCACUGAGCACUAAGAAAAAGGGAUGCACCAGCAUUUCUGCACCCCAGCCUUACUGACUUGCUGCUGACAUCAGCUUAUUCAGCUUGGGAAACAAGAAAGGGAGCAAAAUCGCCCCUGCUGUGAUCCAGCCCUUUGGUGUUGGAUGUUCUGUAGGAGACUUAAAAGCAGGACUGACUUAAUAACAAGUAGUUUUGAAGUAGAUGAUCUGUAGAAAUAGAAAUCAGCAGAUUUGCAUCACUCACCACAUGAAAAUACGUUUCCACUCUUUGUAUCAUUGAAGCUGAAUUACUGAGUGUCAUCCUUCAUUCAAUUGGGUGGAGCUGCCCCCAUGUGAAGGCAGCUGCGCAUCCUGGGAGCAGAAAAGCAGUAACUGUCUCACAAUGAAAAAGCUCUGGUUCCAUUUAAGUGUAGCUGACUGCCAUUUUGCUCUAGUUUCUUUCAAGGUAACUUCAACUGGGGCUUUUUAGUGAAACCCUUUGUGUGAAACCUUUGUAACUAAGUUAUUUCUUGAACCUUUAUCCCGAACAGACCAAACUGUGGCAAGCACAACCAACAUCAAGCCUGUUUUUAUGUACUGGACAUAAGAGAAAGCAGUAGGAGAAGUAAGGCAAGAAGAUGGUUUCAGAUAUGGACUUGCAUCUCUUACUUAUAGUACAAGCCAUUAAAAAUACCCAGGCAUACUCAACUCAGAAGUCAGGCACAGCUGCUUGCUGUAGAGAAGCAGAGCUGCUCAUAGCGCCAAAUGUAUUUCUCAAGGUAGGAGAUCACACAGCUUUGUGAGCCCUGCAGAAGUGCACAGGAAUGGCUCAAGCAGCUCCCAGGGGAGAACAGCUGAGCUUGGUUGUUGGUAGCGCUGGGGGGAGGCAGCUCUGAGGCAGCUGGGCUGGCAGCCUUCCUUACUGCUCUGUUUGUAACCAGAGACUGAUGACAUAAUGUGGUCAUACAGACAGUUGUGUUCAUUAUGUUCUGGUCUGACACACUGAACCCUCAUUGAUAGUGGGAGAGGAGCUCAAUGCAGAGGUCAUACUUAGAAAAGCUGCAGCAAGAAUUUUCUUGAUGCCAAAAUGGGGCUGUUACCUACCUGAUAAG
rnacentral:lncRNA from 1 species